rnacentral:tRNA from 1 species
GCAGUGGUGGUUCAGCACUAGAAUUCUUGCCUUCCAUGCAGGAGACCCAGGUUCAAUUCCCAGCCAAUGUA